rnacentral:rRNA from 1 species
GGGAGUAACCAAACGAAAGUUUGGCUAAUACCGCGUAAGCUCCAAGGAGGAAAGUAGGGGACCUAAAUAAGGCCUUACGCUAUUUGAUCGGCCGAUGUCGGAUUAGCUAGUUGGUGGGGUAAUGGCUCACCAAGGCAAUGAUCCGUAGCGGGUCUGAGAGGACGAUCCGCCACACUGGGACUGAGACACGGCCCAG